AAGUUAGUCCAAGACUUCACUGCUGGUGCCAAUGAAGUAUAGACAGACUAUAGAUCCAAAAUGCACAAUGACAUCAAAAUUGAUUGGUAUUUGCAACUCCGGAAGCUAGUAUUGGCUUUCAUACUGAUUGUGGUUUCUCAUAUGUAUCCCAUCUUCCUGGGCAUCUUGGGGAGUUCUUUGCCUUAACAGGAGCAAGACUGAAUGGUAAGGAAUUGGUUGCAGCUGGAUUGGCAACCCAUUUUGUCCCUCUUGAGAGAAGCAUUUGAUAAGCUUAAACUCUGGAGAUGAGAAUGCAGUCAAAGCUGCGAUUGAAGAAUUUGUAGUGGAAGUCCAACCUGAUGAAGAAAGUGUUUUAAACAAGCAGUCAAUAAUUGAUGAGUGCUUCUCCAAAGAUACAUCACAAGGAUAAGGAAAGGUCUGAUACCAGCUGGUUAUGUCACUGUCAGGGU